rnacentral:rRNA from 1 species
ACGGAGGAUGCGAGCGUUAUCCGGAUUUAUUGGGUUUAAAGGGUGCGUAGGCGGACUGUUAAGUCAGUGGUGAAAUGCUGAUGCUCAACGUUAGCAUUGCCGUUGAAACUGUCAGUCUUGAGUGUAAUUGAGGCAGGCGGAAUGUGUGGUGUAGCGGUGAAAUGCAUAGAUAUGACACAGAACUACGAUGGCGAAGGCAGCUCACAAAGCCACAACUGACGCUGAAGCACGAAAGCGUGGGGAUCAAACAG